rnacentral:lncRNA from 1 species
AGUGGCCUUCGGAUCAGAGGCUUUUGAGCUCCUCGCUUACCUCCUGUGGCGCUUCAGAGAGGUCCUUGCACAAGAACAUGAAAGUGAGAGGCUCUAAUCUACAAAGAAAGGGCGGAUUGGCGGCGUAUGAAGAGGCUUGUGUGCAAGGAUCCCUUCCAAGUUUUUUUGUAUGAUCGCAGCGUUUAGUGAGAACCCACUUCCUCCCUGGGCUUCAAGGCCACACACAGAAAGACAGAUGAGCCAUUCAAGACAUACAUUGGUGUUGCUUUUUUUUUUUCUUCCUUCCUUCCUUUCUUUCUUCUUUCUGUCUGUCUUACUAUGUAGCUCUAGGUGACCUGAAAUUCACUUGGUAGACCAGAUCCAGGGACCUGUCGUCUGCUUUUGCCUCCCUUGUGAUUUAAAGGUGUGCAACACCUCCCCUGGCCUCAGGCUUCCUGUUUUAAGAGAGAUGGUUUCCAUUCACUGCCCAACAAACAGAACAGCCCAUUCGUUAUAGCUAUCUACAUGAACUAAUAAGCAAACAAACAAAUCAGUUCCUUGGCAUCCCUAGCCCCGUCCUGAGCAUUUGAGGACCUGGAUGCUGCAGACAGGCACUCUACUAUAACCUCAGCUCCUUGUAGUGUCAUCAUCUGUUUCUAAGUUUUUCUGUAAAGGAGCACAGCUAUUAUGGGCCCAUUUCCAGGGAAAUCAAUAAGGAGACAGAGACAGAGAGACAGAGAUUAGUAAGAGGACUAGAGGACUAGAGGACUAUAGCCUAGUCGGUAGUGGGUUUGAUCCCCAAUAGCACAUAAAUCAGGACUAGUGGUGAACACCUGUAAU